AGUUGAGAGGCUCUCAAUGAGAGUAUUUAUAUUUCGCUCACUCUCACGGUUUUUCUAGGCGAAUACCCUACAGCGUAUGUAUGUAUGUACACACGUAACGCCUACAAGCUGUGGAAAUUAGUUUGGUAAAAAAAAUCUAACUGUAUAUCUUUUCCAACAGGACUGUCGCCAACUUGAGGUGGUUUCAUUUGAAGUUUCGUAUUCUAUGAAAUUUAUAGACUACAUAUGCAUCUGUAUGUAGUAUGUAUGUACAUAUUUGAUAGUUGCAAUUAUUGCAUACAUAUGUAUAUUUAUCAUUCACAUUAAGGGCGUUUUUAAAAGUGUUUGUGGAAUUGAAAAUAUAAUUAUAUACAUAGUACAUACAUAAACAUAUUUGAAAUUUUGAAAUGUAAGGGUAUCUAUGCACUGGCAGACUUGUAAUUUAAUUCUACUAUCUCUUCAUCAAUUCCUGCAUAUGUAUUGUUCAUACAUACAUACAUAUGUACAUGUAUAUAUUCAUAUCUGCAUGUGUGUGCAUACUAUUAACAACUUGAGAGCAAUAUAAAAAAGAGCGAUAAUAAUUCUGGUUUCAUCGCAUGACAUAAUAUUUAACACACUGGUCAAUUCGAAAUGCAAGUUAGGUUUAUUUGAUUGUUAUUCGCUGAAAAAGACACUAAUUUUUAAAUACAAAUUGUGAUUUCGCCUCUUAAAAUUUAAUUGAUCAAUAUUUAUGUAAUCGAUAUAUCGAUAGUAUUUUAGUAUUUUUUUUUAGCAAUCCAUACAUGUGGGCACACUGCUCCAAAAUAAGUUUAAACAAGUACAUGUGCAUAUACAUGCAUAUAUAUAUGUAUCUACAUUUAUGUAUGUACGUCGUACAUUGUACGUUAUUUAUGAACGAAAAUGAAUAUUUGUUGUAAACAGUUAAAAAUAAAUUCACUGUGUCAUCUUAAACUUACUUCAGUUUGUUUAUAGCUGUAUUCCUUAGCAAGGUAUAGAAAGUAUGCUUACGACGCUAGAUUAGAUUGAUGUCUAAUUAUCGAAAGGAAGCUAUCAACAAAGCAACAGGAAUAUCUGUUAACACCUGCUGGAAAGAUAGUGGAAGGAGAUGAAGAAGGCAACCAUCAGUCACAGGUUGAUGUAUGGCAGCACAAAAUAAAAUCCUAAACCAUAGAAUGGUUGAGCAGAAACCA